rnacentral:rRNA from 1 species
GAUGAACGCUGGCGGCGUGCCUAAUACAUGCAAGUCGAGCGAACGGACGAGAAGCUUGCUUCUCUGAUGUUAGCGGCGGGCGGGUGAGUAACACGUGGAUAACCUACCUAUAAGACUGGGAUAACUUCGGGAAACCGGAGCUAAUACCGGAUAAUAUUUUGAACCGCAUGGUUCAAAAGUGAAAGACGGUCUUGCUGUCACUUAUAGAUGGAUCCGCGCUGCAUUAGCUAGUUGGUAAGGUAACGGCUUACCAAGGCAACGAUGUAUAGCCGACCUGAGAGGGUGAUCGGCCACACUGGAACUGAGACACGGUCCAGACUCCUACGGGAGGCAGCAGUAGGGAAUCUUCCGCAAUGGGCGAAAGCCUGACGGAGCAACGCCGCGGGAGUGAUGGAGGUCUUCGGAUCGUAAAACGCUGUUAUUAGGGAAGAACAUAUGUGUAAGUAACUGUGCACAUCUUGACGGUACCUAAUCAGAAAGCCACGGCUAACUACGU